UAAAAACGUUUAUUCCGUGCCAUCGCACACACACAGAAAAAAAAAAAAGAAAACAUAAUGAAAAACAGUAAUAAAUGAACACAAAGACCUUAUGACUAAACAAAAGAAAUAAAUGAGAGGAUAUGUGUGCGUUGUCUGGCACCGAAACGGACGGCGGCUCAGCUAAGGCGGUAGAAGAUAAUAUGUUACCUACUACCGCGCUGAUUUUCAGCCGCUUCCCUUUAUGAUGCCACUGACUAUAAAUAAAAACUAAAAACUAAAACUAUGGCAAGUGCACGGCCGGCAGCUGUGAACCAAGGUCACCCGGGGUACUUCACACGCAUAAGCGGUUCGUGUUUUCAGCGGCCCCGAGUGCCUCACGCGGCUGUAAAAGGCUUUCAGUGCCUACGCUGCCGCCGUGCUGCGCCCACACUGUGCCAUAAACUGUAAAUAAAUAUAUGAUUGUGAUUUAAAACGUAAUUAGAAAUAUCAUGUAGUGAAUCUGUAGGCGAGUGGUAUAUUUUUGUGUAAUGAAUAAUUCAAUUUUACGAUGGAUAUUGGGAAUGAAGUCAUAGACUAAAGAAGGUAUUCAUAUUGAAGGUAGCUGUGAACAUUAGCUGUGUUGCAAAAAAUGGGAUGAUUUUGGAGAUAAGAAAAUAUGUACAAUAAUGGAAGAUUAUAUUAUGCCGCGGGAGUCCAUUUGUGUGUUGCGAAGAAAACUAGUGUAAGUACCUAUUAUUUAUUUAUUUAUUUAUUUUUUUACUGCC